UGGGGAAUUUUGGACAAUGGGCGCAAGCCUGAUCCAGCCAUGCCGCGUGCAGGAUGAAGGCCUUCGGGUUGUAAACUGCUUUUGUACGGAACGAAAAGGUGCCUUCUAAUAAAGGGCGCUCAUGACGGUACCGUAAGAAUAAGCACCGGCUAACUACGUGCCAGCAGCCGCGGUAAUACGUAGGGUGCGAGCGUUAAUCGGAAUUACUGGGCGUAAAGCGUGCGCAGGCGGUUUUGUAAGACAGAGGUGAAAUCCCCGGGCUCAACCUGGUAACUGCCUUUGUGACUGCAAGGCUGGAGUGCGGCAGAGGGGGAUGGAAUUCCGCGUGUAGCAGUGAAAUGCGUAGAUAUGCGGAGGAACACCUAUGGCGAAGGCAAUCCCCUGGGCCUGCACUGACGCUCAUGCACGAAAGCGUGGGGA
rnacentral:rRNA from 1 species